rnacentral:misc_RNA from 1 species
UCCGUGCAUUUCUUUCUGAAAUAUUCAAGGGCUUCUGGACUGACUUUACAUAGAUCUGUGCAGAGUUGAAUGCCUGUUAUUAAGACUCCAUGAUGCUUUUCUUUAAGUAAGGCAGCAGCAGGGUUUAUGAAAUUUUCUGCCAGAUCAGGUACUUUCUUUAUAAUCCGUAUGGAGCACAGUGCAGCCUUUUUCCGAAUAUUUGGAUCACGAAAUUGGAGCAAUCUUUCCACUUCUGGUGCAAGAUCAAGGAGCCAUUUCUGCUGAACAAAUAUUUCCCAAAGCACAGAGAGCAAGCCCUACAAUAUACUGGUUCGAGUGAUUGAGAUCUUGUUUUAAUGAGUUUGUGACCAACAUUAGAACUUCUUGUCUUUCAUCAAGAAGUAGCAUGAGGCCAAGAUAUCCUAUUCUCUUCUCUGGAAAUCCAGCAGAUGCAAUCAAUUUCAGGCACUCCAUUUGACCAAAAUGUGUUGGAUAACCUAGCAUGUGAAUAAACAUGAGCUUUGCCAAGUUGCGGUGUCUAUAAUCUUGAUCAUUUUCAUUAAUCGCUGCACGAAUGGCAGCAGACUCUUUUCUUAUGACAGCACGUUCCUCAGCAGCAGUUUUGCAAGCACGUAUUGCCCUAAUCAUGUCCCUUAGACGCGUACCGGACGAGAAGGGAUUCAUGAUUGGGUCCGUUUUAAAGCUUUUCUGGAAGCUUCCCCGGCGAGCUCGAUCAGAUCAAAAUGAAAGAAAAGAAGCCGAGACGAUCAAAUAUCCCCCGAAUUCAGUCAGAGAAAACAGAUGGACCCGAACUCGAUAGUCGAAGAUCCGAAUAGGUUUAUUCAGGGAUCUUGGAGAGAGCAGAGAAGGAAGAGAGAUUUGGAUCUGAUGACACAGCAAGAGAGAGACAUAGGGCUCUUAUUU